UUAGGGUUUCGACUCCAUCUCCGAUCAAAAUCAAAUACAUCUCCGAUCAAAUCCACUGACGAAGUUGAGAGAGAGAGAAACUUGGAUAUGGCCGAUGAGUAUUGCAACCUCCGCCUCUGCUUACCCAGAGAAGUUCUACGCCGCCGCAUCAUACAUCGCUCUCGACGGAUUUGAUUUUUCGAGUAAUUCUCAACGAACAGGGUACUGUUGGACCUUCCAACAUUCAGAACACUAUUGGAUUGGAGACCAGUGGAGCAAAGCAAAUGGAAAAGGUUAAAAGAGCUUGAUCUGGACGUGGUUGAUUGAGACAGGAAAAGCUUGAUGAAACUGGAAGAUCAAAUGUGACUUAUGUAAUGGAUCUCAGCUCGUUAUAUGCACUACUAAAACAUGUAGCGUACGACUUGAUGAGGUUAGCAUUUCAUAUUAUAUCGAUGACUUCGAAGAAAACUACCGGAACAUCGGGAAUAUAGUCGAGCUAUAUGACUGUUAACAUAAGGUAUAACCCUUUUCACUCUUUAUUGCAGUUUACUUUCUCAGGUCUUUAUCUCUACUGCUUUUAAAGGCAUUAAGUCUCUUUUAUAUGCUUGGAAAUAUAAUCAGUGAAAGUAUUGCGAUCUCAA